rnacentral:rRNA from 1 species
AUACCGCGUGUGUGAAGAAGGCCUUAGGGUUGUAAAGCACUUUCAAUUGGGAGGAAAACCUGUCGGCCAAUACCCGRUAGCUUGACRUUACCUUUAGAAGAAGCACCGGCUAACUCCGUGCCAGCAGCCGCGGUAAUACGGAGGGUGCGAGCGUUAAUCGGAAUUACUGGGCGUAAAGCGUGCGUAGGCGGUUCGUUAAGUCAGAUGUGAAAGCCCUGGGCUCAACCUGGGAACUGCAUUUGAAACUGGCGGACUAGAGUUUAGUAGAGGGGAGUGGAAUUUCAGGUGUAGCGGUGAAAUGCGUAGAUAUCUGAAGGAACACCAGUGGCGAAGGCGACUCCCUGGACUAGAACUGACGCUGAGGUACGAAAGCGUGGGUAGCAAACAGGAUUAGAUACCCUGGUAGUCCACGCCGUAAACGAUGUCGACUAGCCGUUGGNCCUAUUUACAGGNUUAGUGGCGCAGCUAACGCAUUAAGUCGACCGCCUGGGGAGUACGGCCGCAAGGUUA